GCUCAGCCAAGGCCACACAGCUGUCCCUCGUGAAGGCAGGAUCUAAACAUGAUGGUGUGCAUAGAAACUGAAGCAUUUUACAAGACUAUACUUUCGAGAAGUCCCUAAAGAUGUGCCGUGAAUCUGGCUAACACUGAACUAGUAAACAUAUCGUUGUAACAUCAGACUGGCUGCUGUAUACAUUAGACCAAAGAGAGGCAGGGACAAAAACAUGAUUUGAACAUUUUAAAUUAUCAGUCUAAUACUCCCUAUUUCUGGAAACGGCUAGGAAGAGCCGUCAUCACGAGUCAGACGUUGAGAGGUACACAGAAAGAGAGAGAGAAUCACCUUGCGCCGUGUCAGCAAGCCCUGCGAGGACGACCCACCAAAACCAGGCCACAGAAAGAUUGGGUAACUUCCCCAGCACCCUGGGAAGUAGUGGCUGGGAUCCUGACACACACAGGCUGGAAUCCACACGCCUCAGCCCUGCACACC